CCCUUAGAUGUUCUGGGCCGCACGCGCGCUACACUGACGAAUGCAACGAGCUUAUAACCUUGGCCGAAAGGUCUGGGUAAUCUCCAAAUUUCGUCGUGAUGGGGAUAGAUUAUUGCAAUUAUUAAUCUUCAACGAGGAAUGCCUAGUAAGCGCAAGUCAUCAGCUUGCGUUGAUUACGUCCCUGCCCUUUGUACACACCGCCCGUCGCUCCUACCGAUUGAAUGGUCCGGUGAAGCGCUCGGACCGCGGCCUCUUGACGGUUCGCUGUCGAUUGGCUGUGGGAAGUUCGUUAAACCUUAUCAUUUAGAGGAAGUAAAAGUCGUAACA
rnacentral:rRNA from 1 species